UCUCACCACGGGAAGCCUGUAUCUUUACAAUUCAACAAUCAGCAUGGCCCCCAGAGAUGACGGGGUUCAUCCAUUCAGAUGAGAAAAUGAAGAAAGUGGCAGGAUUUUGUAGGAAUAGGAAGCUCCUUCGGGCUCAUGCCCAGCCACAGGCUGCCACAGCACGGAAAGGAAAAGUGAAACCAGCUCCAUCAAGUCAUUUUUCACUCUAGGAUUGUCAAAAGCUUUACAUUCAUCUCUUGGGAUCCGAGGAGAGAUAUCUGCCGAGAGAGAAUUUGGAUCGGAGCCAGCAAAGCAAACUCCAGAAGCCUUGGCUGCUGCGAAAGGGGAUUCAACACCUUUCCGGGUCGUUCUCACUUCAUUUCCAGCCGGUCCCCCUUUGGUGCUGUUUCCCAAGUAAUCAGACCUCAGGGGUUGCCUCCUGGUGGGGAAAGGGAAGCUUGCCUUGCUGGAGAAGGGGCUCAAGGCACAGGACUUGCCUCGGACUUGCCAAGGAGGCUUGCAGGAGGCUCUUUGUCUACUCCUCUGUCCUCAUCCAACAAAUGGUUGUUCCAGAAAAAAUGCAGCAACACCUGAACUCUUCUAAA
rnacentral:lncRNA from 1 species